ensembl:lncRNA
AGGUCCACCCGGUUCUUAAACGAUGGAUGCUGGACUUGUGGAACAAAGUGUCCAUCCCGGUACACAAGGACAUAUUCAUCUCUCAGGUCAGCUCUGCUCCACUCUACACCUAUGAUGUUGUUGUUUGGAGCUCGACAUGUCAGAGUGACGUCCUGUCCAGACUCAGCUGUGAUGGUUUUCUGGUCUGAAAGAGGAAACAACACAGAGCAGAGAGGUUAAAGGUCAAACUGCUCCCUUCAGGCGUCACCACAGCGAGUCUUCUCCUCCUCCUCACCUGAUCCCGAGCAUCUUCAUCAGGGCUGAUUUGUGACAGAAGGACAGCAGCAAGAGUGAAAGGGAAGGUUUAAAGAUGGCAGUGAGCUGCUGUGAUGUUUGCUUUGGAGACUCUGACACAAAGACAGGAGGCCGAGCUGAACAUGUUCAGAUUUUCAUUGAGAGCAG